rnacentral:lncRNA from 1 species
UUGCCGAGGCCACUGCUCCAGAUGCAGCCUAUGCAAGUGAAGCAAAAGCAGUAAACAGUGAUAUGGAGAUUAGCUAAUAACUGUAAUUAUUUCCCAGUAGUGGUAUUAACACAUGUAAUUCAGGUAGUUUUGUCGUGCGCUAUUUCUACCUGCCUACACAAGAUUUUGCAGGUGGAUGUGGAGUGCUACGUCCAUUAAGAUUCUCAGGUGGCGGGACGAGUUGCAAUGCUUGAAAUAUUUGAUUUGUGGGUCAGUGCUAGUACAACAGAACUUUUUUUUUUGGGGGUAUUAUAACAAUUAAAGCUUGAUAAUAUGUCCAUAUAUAGUGGAAUACUAAUUAAUUCUCCUCUCUAGUGUGUUCUCAUAAAAAGUUAAAAUACAGAACAGAAAAAUCCUUUAGCCUUUUUCUCAUUAGUGAAAAGCAAGUGUGGUAAGUGGUAACACAUUAUCAGACACCAUUCCUAGAGAAUAAUUUAAUAUCUUUAUUUUCUUCCCUUACACUUUAGUUGAGAUAAAUUUUCAAUAUGACAAUCCAUAUAUGUAUCAGGUGGAUGUCACUUGGAAACCAAUUAGAAGGGGUAAGAUUAGUUGAUGAGGGGCUUAGGGCGCGGUUCAAGGCUGCAUAUCCAGAUGUGGAGGUUCAGCCUGCAUCACCUCCAAGGCCAUCUGCUAUGAAAGUAGACUCAAGUUCUAGUCAAAUGAGGAAUACAUUUGCUGGAGGGGAAUUAAAGGCUGCAGAGACCCAGGUUGCCGAGGCCACUGCUCCAGAUGCAGCCUAUGCAAGUGAAGCAAAAGCAGUAAACAGUGAUAUGGAGAUUAGCUAAUAACUGUAAUUAUUUCCCAGUAGUGGUAUUAACACAUGUAAUUCAGGUAGUUUUGUCGUGCGCUAUUUCUACCUGCCUACACAAGAUUUUGCAGGUGGAUGUGGAGUGCUACGUCCAUUAAGAUUCUCAGGUGGCGGGACGAGUUGCAAUGUGCCUGCAGUUAACCUUCUAAAAGGAGCCCUACAGUAGUCUUUAAACUUGUCAGAAAUGUUUACUUGUCCU